AGAGUUUGAUCCUGGCUCAGGACGAACGCUGGCGGCACGCUUAACACAUGCAAGUCGAACGAGAGAAGAGGAGCUUGCUUUUCUGAUCUAGUGGCGGACGGGUGAGUAACACGUGAGCAAUCUGCCUUUCAGAGGGGGAUACCGAUUGGAAACGAUCGUUAAUACCGCAUAACAUAAUUGAACCGCAUGAUUUGAUUAUCAAAGAUUUAUCGCUGAAAGAUGAGCUCGCGUCUGAUUAGCUAGUUGGUAAGGUAACGGCUUACCAAGGCGACGAUCAGUAGCCGGACUGAGAGGUUGAUCGGCCACAUUGGGACUGAGACACGGCCCAGACUCCUACGGGAGGCAGCAGUGGGGAAUAUUGCACAAUGGAGGAAACUCUGAUGCAGCGAUGCCGCGUGAGGGAAGAAGGUUUUAGGAUUGUAAACCUCUGUCUUCAGGGACGAAAAAAGACGGUACCUGAGGAGGAAGCUCCGGCUAACUACGUGCCAGCAGCCGCGGUAAUACGUAGGGAGCGAGCGUUGUCCGGAAUUACUGGGUGUAAAGGGAGCGUAGGCGGGAUCGCAAGUCAGAUGUGAAAACUAUGGGCUUAACCCAUAAACUGCAUUUGAAACUGUGGUUCUUGAGUGAAGUAGAGGUAAGCGGAAUUCCUAGUGUAGCGGUGAAAUGCGUAGAUAUUAGGAGGAACAUCAGUGGCGAGGGCGGCUUACUGGGCUUUAACUGACGCUGAGGCUCGAAAGCGUGGGGAGCAAACAGGAUUAGAUACCCUGGUAGUCCACGCCGUAAACGAUGAUUACUAGGUGUGGGGGGACUGACCCCUUCCGUGCCGCAGCAAACGCAAUAAGUAAUCCACCUGGGGAGUACGACCGCAAGGUUGAAACUCAAAGGAAUUGACGGGGGCCCGCACAAGCAGUGGAGUAUGUGGAUUAAUUCGAAGCAACGCGAAGAACCUUACCAGGUCUUGACAUCGUAUGCAUAGCUCAGAGAUGAGUGAAAUCUCUUCGGAGACAUAUAGACAGGUGGUGCAUGGUUGUCGUCAGCUCGUGUCGUGAGAUGUUGGGUUAAGUCCCGCAACGAGCGCAACCCUUACUGUUAGUUGCUACGCAAGAGCACUCUAGCAGGACUGCCGUUGACAAAACGGAGGAAGGUGGGGAUGACGUCAAAUCAUCAUGCCCCUUAUGACCUGGGCCUCACACGUACUACAAUGGCUGUCAACAGAGGGAAGCAAAGCCGCGAGGUGGAGCGAACCCCUAAAAGCAGUCUUAGCUCGGAUUGUAGGCUGCAACCCGCCUACACGAAGUCGGAAUUGCUAGUAAUCGCAGAUCAGCAUGCUGCGGUGAAUACGUUCCCGGGCCUUGUACACACCGCCCGUCACGCCAUGGGAGUCGGUAACACCCGAAGCCUGUAGUCUAACCGCAAGGAGGACGCAGUCGAAGGUGGGAUUGAUGACUGGGGUGAAGUCGUAACAAGGUAGCCGUAUCGGGAGGUGCGGCUG
rnacentral:rRNA from 1 species